GGAAGCUAUGGCAGAGUGAGGCUACAAGAGGGUUAGGAGGUGCUUGCAGGCUUCAGAAGAGCCAGUUGCUUUAGAGACCAAGAGACUCCUAUCAGGAAUGGAUUAUGAUAAAUGGACAGUGAAACGCCUAUGCCACAGACUGAAAAUUUCAAAGGGCUGUAAGCAAGGCAUCCAGCAGAGCUGCUGAGUAGAGUGGCAUAAGACUGGAAUGGAAAAGAUGAGUGAGGAAGGCUUGAUUUUGCACGUGGGUCUCUGCAAAACGGAAAGACAUAGUCCGUACUACAAAGAAUUUAUUACCAGGAAUUUUUUUGCAUAAUGAGCAUAGCUCAGACCUCUGUGAACCACCUGUCUGCUGAGGAAAUAAAGGGCCCUUUCCAAUAGAGCCAGUAGUUCAGAAGUUCUUCUCAAUCAACAUUUUUUCACCCCUCUCAAAAGCUUGAUCCUGAAAUUACUAUUGACCUCUGUAUGACCAACACUGGGCCCAUUUUUUUAUGCUGGUGAAAAGCUUAACUGGGCUUUUUACUGUACUUUUGGAUUCCACUGCCUCUCCUAUGACUCCAGCCAUGCUGAUAUGGGGUGAUAUUGGAAUGGUCAGAGCACAAUCUAUCGCCAGUUCUCCUCCUUCAUGGUGGAGGACAAGGUAAGAAUAACAAAGGCAGUGACAUGCAUAGUGAGACAACAUGUAAAAUGCCUAUAAGUUAAGCUUAGUGAUCUUAGUGACAAAUCCUGCUGGCCAAACUUCCUUUUAUAUCAAUGGGACUUUGGACUGAGUAAGGACUGCAGAAUCUGGCCCCAGGUCAGCAUUUUUUUUAUUAUGUAUGUUUCACCAUUUCUUAGCUGAUUAGCCACUCUGUUUUUUUUCCUAGAGAUUCCCAUGCUCCUCCUUACUCUUCACUAGACAUUAGUUCUGAUAACCAUAGGAUAUUUCUUGACUCGGAUAAAUGUGUGUCUCAUUGCAGUAUUUGCAAUAUUUCUUCUAUUUAAGUAUAACAAUUACUGCACAUACAGUGGUAAAGUUAACUACCACAGGCUUUAAAUGUUUGUUUGCUGUAUUAUGGAAGUCUCCCGUGUUCAUAUAUUGUAAGGCCCUUCUGCCAGGUACAGAAAGCUGCAACAGAGUUUUCGCAUAUGAAUAGCUAUUCAUAUGCAGCAAAGGAGGAUGUAAUUCACUUUUAGCUAUGGAAUGGCUGAUUGCACAACCUGUAAUAAACCAGCUACCCUGUUUCAAAUUGGUCCCAGGAUCUGAGGAGGUAAGAAAGAUGUUUAAUUCUUUUUGCACACACAGAACUUUCUCAGAUCAAUUAAUCCAUUCCUCCCCUUUAUUCAUUCGUUUGUUUACUUUAUUCAGUUGUUUGUUUCACCAGAUGUUUGCUUCUCUAGAUUCUUCAGAUUCAUAACACUAUUUUAUUCAUAAAUUUGCAUUUACUUUUUCACACUGAAAGUACAAGAUGGUAAUUGCUUACAGACCCUCAGAACUUUAUUUCUAGCCCCAUUACCAUCUAGGCUUCUUAAAUAAAGUAUAGAAAAUUGUAUUUUUAAAAGCUAACCUAUUGUGUAUGAUUUUACAUAUAUUAAUGCAAAAUUGAUAAUAUAGUUCAAACAAAUUGUGAGACAAUUGUAAAUUGUAUAUGUUUCUAGUAAUAAGGCUGGUUUUUAUAGCAUUGUAAAGGUACCCAAUGUUUUGUAACCUGAGUUAUAUGCCAACUGCAAUUGAAAUAACAAAAUCCGCUUUAAUUCACCCCUUUAGUUACUUUGGUUCAAAUCUGAAUGUGGCCCAUCUUCUUUCUGAUUCAUUGUGUCCUGUUCUGUUAUAACAUUGUUUCUUUACAAUUUACGAUAUGUCAAAAUAGGACACUAUGAAUCAGAAAUAACAUGCAAGUUAGCCCUGAAAUAACUAAAGGUGUGAAUUAAAAGCAAUGUAGUUACGUUGUUUCCAGUUUGUGGGUCUACAAGCCCUUAGAGUAAGACACAUCCCUUGCCUUGACUGCUUUUCAUCUAUCUGGACUAGACAAAAGUACAAAUAAUAAAACAAAAAAGCCCAGAACAACAACCAUUACCACUACCAAAUGCAAAAUCUAGACACACUCACAAGUCAAUGAGUAAUCGGUGAGGAGCGAUUAUUGGUGAGAGCAAAGAAGGAAGAUUUUCGUUGAAGAAGUAGAUUUUAGGGAAGGAUUUGAAAGAGGAGAGAGAGAGGAGUGGUGCACCAGAACUGGGUGACUCUACUGGGCGUAGAGAAUAGCUUGAUAGAAGUAGAGUGUUAAAAAUGACCAAAACAAAGUAAAGGGAGAAGUAAGGCAGGAGGCUGGGGGGCAAAGGGGAGUAGAAAGGGGGAAGGGAGUAGGGAAUUAGGGGGAAAUACAGUUAGAUGAAUGUAGCCCAAUGGUAAAGUAGGAAACUAGGUAUUGGGAUAGAAAGUGUAAAGUUGUUUUAGCUUGAUAUAACUAUAAAGAAAUUCUGUUUUACAUGAUCUUUUUAGCUUAAAUUUUAAAUACAUUCUGGCAUUAGAUGAUCUAAGAAAUAAGUAUCUGCUUUUUAACACACUGAUGAAUGCAACUGUUUUCAUCAUCUGCAACCUUUUCAGAUUUGAUCACUAGACCAACUUUAUUGAUCCACUUGUUAAAAUCUAACUGAUUAAGUCCCCCCCCACCCAAUUUUCCUGGAUUAUCUUUAAUAAAGUGAAUAAACCAUUA